rfam:Beta vulgaris subsp. vulgaris contig105547.1, whole genome shotgun sequence.
GGGUGCGAUCAUACAAACACUAAUGCAUCGGAUCCCAAUCGAACUCCGCAGUUAAGCGUGUUUGGACGAGAGUAUUACUAGGACGAGUGACCUCCUACGAAGUCCUCGUGUUGCACCCC